CCUUGGUGAAAAAACGGAGCUUCUGUGCAGGAGAGAGGCGAAAAGAGACCCGCGAGAGGGCGUAAGUAUUGUAAUGAGGGAAAUUGACAGUGGUUUUGGAGACGGCGGAAGCAGAAGCGGAUGCAGAAGCAGAAGCAGAAGCGGAUGCAGAAGCAGAAGCAGAAGCGGAGGCAGUUGUGGAGAGUGAAGACGCCAUUGGUUUUGGUGAUUUCUAGGCUAACCUUAGCGAGUGAGUGUUGAUAGAGACGAAGGUCCAGUGUUGAAUUUGUAAGAGUCGCAGAUAGAGAGAGAGGGUGUGUGCGUGUGUUUUGAGGAAUCCGCCUGAGGAGAGGAGGCAGGGAAAAGGCCUAUUUCUCUUUGAGAGUUAAGAGUUUGAGGAUCGA
rnacentral:misc_RNA from 1 species